UACGGGGGGGGCAAGCGUUGUUCGGAAUUACUGGGCGUAAAGGGCGCGUAGGCGGCCUUCUAAGUCGAACGUGAAAUCCCCGGGCUCAACCUGGGAACUGCGACCGAGACUGCAUUGCUAGAGUAUGGGAGAGGAAAGCGGAAUUUCUGGUGUAGCAGUGAAAUGCGUAGAUAUCAGAAGGAACAUCAGUGGCGAAGGCGGCUUUCUGGACCAAUACUGACGCUCAGGUGCGAAAGCGUGGGGAGCAAACAGG
rnacentral:rRNA from 1 species